AUAUUUCGCGUCAAAUGUAAAUUAUAGUACGAUGGUACACGAAUAACAUCAAUUAUUUCAAUAAUGACAGCGAAAGAAAAGAAACAACGUUUUGAUCGAGUAAAAGAUGCACGUGAUCGUAAAAUUAUAAAAUAUUAGACAGUUAAUUAUACCGAUUAGCGAGAACAACAGCUUUUGUUAAUUCAUUAACGGGUAAUUUUCACUCGAUCGGCCUUUCCAGCGUAAAACGACGUUCACGAGACGAAAUAGUACGUAUUACAUUAAUGUCGCCGAGCACAUUAAUUUUAAUUAUUCCGCCAUGCUAAAAUGUUGAAUGGAAUUAACGACGAGCUGUCGUUUGUCUUCGUCAGCUUCGUUCGUACGACUUCAUCCUUAUUAAAAUAGCUGCAUCGUAUUUUUCUCAACUUGCCUUAGUAUCUCUGUUCUAUUUUAGCAUCGUGCGAAUUCACGACCAUAGGGUUACAGUAUCAUGCACCAAGAUGGCGACUCGAAGUAAACGUUCUUGAUGCAUCACGUGCUACAGGCUCGUACGAUCGUUUUAAGUAUCGAAACAUUAAAUCAUCCGACAGCAUUUGCCGUGUUACGGAUUAUAAACGACCCAGUUGUAAGUCAAUCGGGAUUACGUUGAAGGUGAUCGAUUAAUUGAAGUACAUUUUGCGCGACGGCCGGUCGGCCAGGCGCAUCAACGUCACUGAAAUAAGCGGUCUUGGAGUAUUUAUUGCGAAAAUCGGCAACGAUGUUCACUCGUAAAAUCUAAGACCAAUAAUUAGCGAUAAAAUAUGCUUCACAUGCUUUAAACUUAGUAAUAAAUUUGCGAAACUUUUGCGUAUAGGUAUCUUCUGCAAGCUUCAACGCAGAACUAUCUUUCCAUUUCAUAAAUCAUAAACAGGUACUUUGCAAUGAAUAAUACUUUGACGAACGUUUUCAUAAUUGCGAUAAGAACUAGAAUUUUUUGUUAAUUUUAUUUGAUAAUCGAUAAUACGUAAUUGAAAAUAACAGUGGAUUGAGAUUAUUGCGAUGAUCAACUGUAAGAUUAAAAGUUUCUCAACGGAACGAGUGACCUGAUAAUUCGUCUUAAUACGAAUCGGAGAGAAUGAGGUUAUCGAUUGACGAUUGCCAAUCAUUCUCGAAGAAAUUUCAUUAUGCCGUGCAAACACCUAAAUAUUUGAGUGCUAUAUUUAUAAAAAGAUCGACGAACCUGAGGGAAGCCCGAUGCAGACGUUGCGCCGUACAAUCGUGUUUUCAUUACUCUCCCUAUAUUUCUUUCUCUUCACUUUCUUGACGUUAUUCCGAGUAAAUAACAUUUACCAUUGCGAACACGCCGGACUUCGAGACAAAUUGAUCUCGCUGCAGUCACGUACGGUCUCGUGUCGAAACAACAUAAAAAUGUAAUUACUGCUGUCAUCGGAAACGAGCGGAGGAAAACGAAGAACAAGAAGGGGUGGAAGUAAAAGUAGAAGAAGAAGAGGAAGACGGUGUUAGCUGAAUUGAAAGAGGGACGUGAUGUUUAGUUUGGCAAUGAAGCGAGGAUUCGUGGCAGAAGGAAAAUUUUCAAGAAAUAAAUCUCGUCCUUUUA